rnacentral:lncRNA from 1 species
GGGGCCUGCCGGGAACUGGAGUGCGCCCCGCGGCCUUUUGCGCAGGCGCCGAAGCCACACCGCGAAGUACCGUUUUUUCAGGCACAAGGAAGGUUUCACCCCGUUGCCGAAAGACUAAGCGUCCCGUUGGCCAGUGCAACGAAGAACGGAGGAAGCGACGCAGUGGCCUUGUGUGGGCCUUCAGCUUCCAGUUCCAUGGCCUGGUGGAGGACCCUGUGGUGCAAGCCUUCCUCCAGACCCCCCUGGCCUGGGGCCCAAGACUGGGAAGCCUUUGAAGAUUUCAGUUUGUAAGUAGUGAGAGCAAUGAUCUUGGCUUUGCAUGGUGCUCAGGAAGCCUUCCCCGCUCCCAAACCAGAAAGGAAUCCAUCCAGAUUUUCCUCCACUGUCUGGAUGGCCGCUCUGUGGAUGCUUCCAUCUGUAUCCAUUGCCGGCACCUGGUGAGGGAUAUUGCUCAGCCAAAGGGCCAGCAUCCCAGUGAAGAAGAUCAGAAAGAGGCUUCCGAUUCCGUCUCUAGAGCCUUUGAGGUCACUCCUGACGCUGACAUGGCUGUGAAGAGCUGGGUGCCAGGCAUUACUGCCUCCAAGGUUGCUUUGCGAGGAAUAGGUGGGGCAUCAGGAAGAAGCCAGUUGCAGGCAAGGCCUCUGCUGAUGCUGCUUUUUUCUCCUGUACCCAUCCAUGGGAGGGAGCUGUGAGAUGGCCUGGCAGAACCCGCUCUUGGACCCCACAGAAUGAGAGGCUCACCCUGCACAGGAACAUCCUGGGGCAGCAGGCUCAGCACAUUUUAAAUUUUGAGUAUGAACAAAGUAAACUUCAGGGUU